GCGCCUGCGUGUGCGCGCGCGCGUGGUGUUGGGGGACAACAUGGUUUCCCCAAAAGUGUCCCCGCUCCCCAGUUCCUCCCGCGGCGGCAUCAGCGCGGCCGUCUCACCCCAGGGAGACGACCCUGCCUCGGCCUCGAAGUCCGCUCGCAGGACCGCGCCCCUUGGGAAAGCGGGAGGCCCCAGCGCCCACGCGAAAGGAGCCGUCCUGCCCUCACGUCCUCUCUGGUGGAAACGGCGGCUCGCGAGGCCGACUUCGGGACCUGUGUUUGGGUCCCUGCAAGAAAUCCUGCGUCCAGGAGAGUGCAGUGCAUCCAAGCAGGGCAGCGAACUAGGACUGGCUCAGAAGAAAGCGAACUUCUAAGUGAUGGCAAGGGCAAUUACGUCGGGCGUGGUGAGGGAAGUGCUGUGGGAUUCUAAAGAGGAAGAGCAUGUGUAAUACCUAGGGUUUGCAUUCCCUGAGAAGAGCGGCCUCGGACAGACGGAACACACCUGAGCUCCUUUUCACCCCUUACCCUGGAUCUGGUCCCCUUCCCCUCUGAGGAAGAUCUAUCUCCCUAUUUCCUAUUAUCUAUCUUUCAUUUUGAUUCUUAUUUAAACUUUUCUCUCCAUUCUGUCUCAUAAAAGAUCAUAUGGUUUUCUGGAAAAACAAAACGAACUCAGAAAGUGAAAAAAAUUUGUAAUACAUUAUUCUGGCCUCUUGGAAUUUUUUUCAUGAAAUAAAGUGAAAUGAAACCACA